UACAGAGGGUGCAAGCGUUGUUCGGAAUUAUUGGGCGUAAAGGGCGCGUAGGCGGUGCGGUAAGUCUGUAGUGAAAUCUCUGGGCUCAACUCAGAGUCUGCUGCAGAAACUGCCGUGCUUGAGUGUGGGAGAGGUGAGUGGAAUUCCCGGUGUAGCGGUGAAAUGCGUAGAUAUCGGAAGGAACGCCGGUGGCGAAAGCGACGUGCUGGACCUCUUCUGACGCUGAGGCGCGAAAGCCAGGGGAGCAAACGGG
rnacentral:rRNA from 1 species